AGUGAACGCUGGCGGCAUGCCUUACACAUGCAAGUCGAACGGCAGCACGGUUGGUUGCUCCUGGUGGCGAGUGGCGAACGGGUGAGUAAUACAUCUGCACCGGUCCCUUAGUGUUGGAUAGGCCUGCGGAAGCGGGAUUUAUGCUGCUAACGAACUCCGGCUGACAGUGGGGGCCCUUCGUCCUUCGAGCUAUAGGGAUGGCCGAUGCCGGAUUAGGUAGUUGGUGGGGUAAAGGCCUACCACGGCGACGAUCAGUAGCUGGUCUGAGAGGACGACCAGCCACACGGGAACUGAGACACGGCCCAGACGCCUACGGGAGGCAGCAGUGGGGAAUUUUGGACAAUGGGCGCAAGCCUGAUCCAGCAAUGCCGCGUGUGUGAAGAAGGCCUUCGGGUUGUAAAGCACUUUUGUCCGGAAAGAAAAGCUUGGCUCUAAUACCGUCGGGGGAUGACGGUACCGGAAGAAUAAGCACCGGCUAACUACGUG
rnacentral:rRNA from 1 species